rnacentral:rRNA from 1 species
GAUGAACGCUGACAGAAUGCUUAACACAUGCAAGUCUUUGGCGAAUCUGUGCUUGCACCGGCUAGCCAAGGCGGACGGGUGAGUAACGCGUAAAGAACUUGCCCUGCAGACAGGGAUAACAGACGGAAACGACUGAUAACACCUGAUACAGUUGCCGGCACGCAUGUGCCUGGCAAUGAAAAGAGAUGCUGCAGGAGAGCUUUGCGUCCUAUUAGCUUGUUGGUGAGGUGACGGCUCACCGAGGCGAUGAUAGGUAGCCGGCCUGAGAGGGUGAACGGCCACAAGGGGACUGAGAUACGGCCCUUACUCCUACGGGAGGCAGCAGUGGGGAAUAUUGGACAAUGGGGGCAACCCUGAUCCAGCAAUUCUGUGUGCACGAAGAAGGUUUUCGGAUUGUAAAGUGCUUUCAGCAGGGAAGAAGAAAGUGACGGUACCUGCAGAAGAAGCGACGGCUAAAUACGUG